GACGAACGCUGGCGGCGUGCUUAACACAUGCAAGUCGAACGGACGGGCCCCUUUCGGGGUACUCUGGUGGCAGACGGGGAAGUAACAGUUGAGUAACCUUCCCUUGACUUCAGGACAGCUUCAAGAAAGGGAGGCUGGUGCCGAAUAGGGAUCCUUUCUUCAUGGGGGGGGUUGGAAAGCUUCGGCGGGUUUUGAUGGACUCGCUGCGUAGCUGCUUGUUGGUGGGGUAGUGGCUUACCAAGGCGGUGUCGGGUAGCCGGCCUGAGAGGGCGACCGGCGACACUGGGACUGAGAGAAGGCACAGACUGCGACGGGAGGCCGAUGGGGGGAAUAUUGCAGAAGCGGCGGCAGGCGGAUGCAGCAACGCCGCGGGCGGGAUGACGGCCUUCGGGUUGAAAACCGCAUUCAGCAGGGGCGAAGCUUGUGGUGACGGUACCUGCAGAAGAAGCACCGGCUAACUACGUG
rnacentral:rRNA from 1 species